UGGGAGGCUUUGAAGCGUGGACGCCAGUCUGCGUGGAGCCGACCUUGAAAUACCACCCUUUAAUGUUUGAUGUUCUAACGUGGACCCGUUACCCGGGUUGCGGACAGUGUCUGGUGGGUAGUUUGACUGGGGCGGUCUCCUCCUAAAGAGUAACGGAGGAGCACGAAGGUUGGCUAAUCCUGGUCGGACAUCAGGAGGUUAGUGCAAUGGCAUAAGCCAGCUUGACUGCGAGCGUGACGGCGCGAGCAGGUGCGAAAGCAGGUCAUAGUGAUCCGGUGGUUCUGAAUGGAAGGGCCAUCGCUCAACGGAUAAAAGGUACUCCGGGGAUAACAGGCUGAUACCGCCCAAGAGUUCAUAUCGACGGCGGUGUUUGGCACCUCGAUGUCGGCUCAUCACAUCCUGGGGCUGAAGUAGGUCCCAAGGGUAUGGCUGUUCGCCAUUUAAAGUGGUACGCGAGCUGGGUUUAGAACGUCGUGAGACAGUUCGGUCCCUAUCUGCCGUGGGCGCUGGAGAACUGAGGGGGGCUGCUCCUAGUACGAGAGGACCGGAGUGGACGCAUCACUGGUGUUCGGGUUGUCAUGCCAAUGGCACUGCCCGGUAGCUAAAUGCGGAAGAGAUAAGUGCUGAAAGCAUCUAAGCACGAAACUUGCCCCGAG
rnacentral:rRNA from 1 species